rnacentral:tRNA from 1 species
GCGGGUAUCGUAUAGUGGCAUUACAGUAGCUUCCCAAGCUGUUCAGACGGGUUCGAUUCCCGUUGCCCGCUCCA